rnacentral:rRNA from 1 species
GAUGAACGCUGGCGGUAUGCUUAACACAUGCAAGUCGAACGGUCUCUUCGGAGAUAGUGGCGGACGGGUGAGGAGCGCGUGAGAAUCUGCCUUUAGGUCGGGGACAACAUUUGGAAACGAAUGCUAAUACCGGAUGAGCUGAGAAGUAAAAGAUUUAUCGCCUAAAGAGGAGCUCGCGUCUGAUUAGCUAGAUGGUAGUGUAAAGGACUACCAUGGCCACGAUCAGUAGCUGGUCUGAGAGGAUGAGCAGCCACACUGGGACUGAGACACGGCCCGGACUCCUACGGGAGGCAGCAGUGGGGAAUUUUCCGCAAUGGGCGAAAGCUGACGGAGCAAUACCGCGUGAGGGAGGAAGGCUCUUGGGUUGUAAACCUCAAAACUUAGGGAAGAAAAAAAUGACGGUACCUAAUAUAAGCAUCGGCUAACUCCGUGCCAGCAGCCGCGGUAAUACGGAGGAUGCAAGCGCUAUCCGGAAUCAUUGGGCGUAAAGCGUCCGUAGUGGCAUUUCAAGUCUGCUGUCAAAGACCGAAGCUCAACUUCGGGUAGGCGGUGGAAACUGAAAAGCUAGAGUAUAGUAGGGGUAGAGGGAAUUCCUAGUGUAGCGGUGAAAUGCGUAGAGAUUAGGAAGAACACCAGUGGCGAAGGCGCUCUACUGGGCAUAUACUGACACUGAGGGACGAAAGCUAGGGUAGCGAAAGGAUUAGAUACCCCUGUAGUCUUAGCGGUAAACGAUGGAUACUAGGUGUUGUCUGUAUCGACCCGGACAGUGCCGAAGCAAACGCGUUAAGUAUCCCGCCUGGGGAGUACGCACGCAAGUGUGAAACUCAAAGGAAUUGACGGGGACCGCACAAGCGGUGGAGUAUGUGGUUUAAUUCGAUGCAACGCGAAGAACCUUACCAAGGCUUGACAUCCUGUGAAUCUUUCUGAAAGGAGAGAGUGCCUUAGGGAACACAGAGACAGGUGGUGCAUGGCUGUCGUCAGCUCGUGUCGUGAGAUGUUGGGUUAAGUCCCGCAACGAGCGCAACCCUCGUCCUUAGUUGCCAGCAUUAAGUUGGGGACUCUAGGGAGACCGCCGGGGAGAACUCGGAGGAAGGUGGGGAUGACGUCAAGUCAGCAUGCCCCUUACGUCUUGGGCUACACACGUACUACAAUGGUUGGGACAAAGGGAGGCGAAACUGCGAAGUGGAGCGAAUCCUGUCAAACCCAGCCCCAGUUCAGAUUGCAGGCUGAAACUCGCCUGCAUGAAGGAGGAAUCGCUAGUAAUCGCAGGUCAGCAUACUGCGGUGAAUCCGUUCCCGGGUCUUGUACACACCGCCCGUCACACCAUGGAAGUUGGUCACGCCCGAAGUCGUUACCUCAACCGUUUACGGAGAGGGAUGCCGAAGGUGGGACUAGUGACUGGGGUGAAGUCGUAACAAGGUAGCGUACCGGAAGG